rnacentral:pre_miRNA from 15 species
GAGGGGCCGUUCUAGCUGUUUUUGCUGUGUCGGGUGGAUCACGAUGCAAAUUUUGAUAAGUUUAAUAGGAGAAAAAAUUGCACGGUAUCCAUCUGUAAACCGCAAGACCUUAUGCAGUGGCAGCUUG